rnacentral:piRNA from 1 species
UGGAAAAGCUGCAGUCUUGAG